rnacentral:rRNA from 1 species
GAUGAACGCUAGCUACAGGCUUAACACAUGCAAGUCGAGGGGAAACGAUAUUGGAAGCUUGCUUCCGAUAGGCGUCGACCGGCGCACGGGUGAGUAACGCGUAUCCAACCUGCCCACCACUUGGGGAUAACCUUGCGAAAGUAAGACUAAUACCCAAUGACGUCUCUAGAAGACAUCUGAAAGAGAUUAAAGAUUUAUCGGUGAUGGAUGGGGAUGCGUCUGAUUAGCUUGUUGGCGGGGUAACGGCCCACCAAGGCGACGAUCAGUAGGGGUUCUGAGAGGAAGGUCCCCCCACAUUGGAACUGAGACACGGUCCAAACUCCUACGGGAGGCAGCAGUGAGGAAUAUUGGUCAAUGGGCGAGAGCCUGAACCAGCCAAGUAGCGUGCAGGAAGACGGCCCUAUGGGUUGUAAACUGCUUUUAUAAGGGAAUAAAGUUAGUCUCGUGAGACUUUUUGCAUGUACCUUAUGAAUAAGGACCGGCUAAUUCCGUG